rnacentral:rRNA from 1 species
GGUGGCGACCGGCGCACGGGUGCGUAACGCGUAUGUAACCUACCUAUAACAGGGGCAUAACACUGAGAAAUUGGUACUAAUUCCCCAUAAUAUUCGGAGAGGCAUCUCUCCGGGUUGAAAACUCCGGUGGUUAUAGAUGGACAUGCGUUGUAUUAGCUAGUUGGUGAGGUAACGGCUCACCAAGGCAACGAUACAUAGGGGGACUGAGAGGUUAACCCCCCACACUGGUACUGAGACACGGACCAGACUCCUACGGGAGGCAGCAGUGAGGAAUAUUGGUCAAUGGACGCAAGUCUGAACCAGCCAUGCCGCGUGCAGGAAGACGGCUCUAUGAGUUGUAAACUGCUUUUGUACGAGGGUAAACUCACCUACGUGUAGGUGACUGAAAGUAUCGUACGAAUAAGGAUCGGCUAACUCCGUGCCAGCAGCCGCGGUAAUACGGAGGAUUCAAGCGUUAUCCGGAUUUAUUGGGUUUAAAGGGUGCGUAGGCGGUUUGAUAAGUUAGAGGUGAAAUCCCGGGGCUUAACUCCGGAACUGCCUCUAAUACUGUUAGACUAGAGAGUAGUUGCGGUAGGCGGAAUGUAUGGUGUAGCGGUGAAAUGCUUAGAGAUCAUACAGAACACCGAUUGCGAAGGCAGCUUACCAAACUAUAUCUGACGUUGAGGCACGAAAGCGUGGGGAGCAAACAGGAUUAGAUACCCUGGUAGUCCACGCAGUAAACGAUGAUAACUCGUUGUCGGCGAUACACAGUCGGUGACUAAGCGAAAGCGAUAAGUUAUCCACCUGGGGAGUACGUUCGCAAGAAUGAAACUC